rnacentral:rRNA from 1 species
CUAGUCUAUCAGGCUGCCCCGAACCCAUCUGAUCUCGACUGAUUUCGGAAGCUAAACUGGAUCAGGCCUGGCUAAGACUUUG